rnacentral:tRNA from 1 species
GCAGUGGUGGUUCAGUGGUAGAAUUCUUGCCUUCCAUGCAGGAGACCCGGGUUCGAUACCCAGCCAGUGCA